UGCCAGCCGCCGCGGUAAUACGGAGGGGGCUAGCGUUGUUCGGAAUUACUGGGCGUAAAGAGCUCGUAGGCUGUUGCGUAAGUCGGAUGUGAAAACUCAGGGCUCAACCCUGAGACGCCAUCUGAUACUGCGCUGACUAGAGUCCGGUAGGGGAGCAUGGAAUUCCUGGUGUAGCGGUGAAAUGCGCAGAUAUCAGGAGGAACACCAGUGGCGAAGGCGGUGCUCUGGGCCGGUACUGACGCUGAGGAGCGAAAGCAUGGGGAGCAAACAGGAUUAGAUA
rnacentral:rRNA from 1 species